UACGUAGGGUGCAAGCGUUGUCCGGAUUUAUUGGGCGUAAAGAGCUCGUAGGCGGUCUGUCGCGUCGGAUGUGAAAACCCAAUGGCUUAACCUUGGGCCUGCAUACGAUACGGGCAGACUAGAGUGCGGUAGGGGAGACUGGAAUUCCUGGUGUAGCGGUGGAAUGCGCAGAUAUCAGGAGGAACACCGAUGGCGAAGGCAGGUCUCUGGGCCGUAACUGACGCUGAGGAGCGAAAGCGUGGGGAGCAAACAGGAUUAGAUACCCUGGUAGUCCACGCCGUAAACGGUGGGCGCUAGGUGUGGGGAAUAUUUUAACGUUCUCCGUGCCGUAGCUAACGCAUUAAGCGCCCCGCCUGGGGAGUACGGCCGCAAGGCUAAA
rnacentral:rRNA from 1 species